rnacentral:rRNA from 1 species
UACGGAGGAUGCGAGCGUUAUCCGGAUUUAUUGGGUUUAAAGGGUGGGUAGGCGGACUGUCAAGUCAGCGGUAAAAUUGAGAGGCUCAACCUCUUCCCGCCGUUGAAACUGGUGGUCUUGAGUGGAUGAGAAGUACGCGGAAUGCGUGGUGUAGCGGUGAAAUGCAUAGAUAUCACGCAGAACCCCGAUUGCGAAGGCAGCGUACCGGCAUCCAACUGACGCUGAGGCACGAAAGCGUGGGGAUCAAACAGG